rnacentral:rRNA from 1 species
GUAGGUGGCAAGCGUUGUCCGGAAUUAUUGGGCGUAAAGCGCGCGCAGGCGGUUCUUUAAGUCUGAUGUGAAAGCCCACGGCUCAACCGUGGAGGGUCAUUGGAAACUGGAGAACUUGAGUACAGAAGAGGAAAGCGGAAUUCCACGUGUAGCGGUGAAAUGCGUAGAGAUGUGGAGGAACACCAGUGGCGAAGGCGGCUUUCUGGUCUGUAACUGGCGCUGAGGCGCGAAAGCGUGGGGAGCAAACAGGGAUUAGAUACCCUGGUAGUCCACGCCGUAAACGAUGAGUGCUAAGUGUUAGGGGGUUUCCGCCCCCUUAGUGCUGCAGCUAACGCAUUAAGCACUCCGCCUGGGGAGUACGACCGCAAGGUUG